GAUGAACGCUGGCGGCGUGCCUAAUACAUGCAAGUCGAGCGAACGGACGAGAAGCUUGCUUCUCUGAUGUUAGCGGCGGACGGGUGAGUAACACGUGGAUAACCUACCUAUAAGACUGGGAUAACUUCGGGAAACCGGAGCUAAUACCGGAUAAUAUAUUGAACCGCAUGGUUCAAAAGUGAAAGACGGUCUUGCUGUCACUUAUAGAUGAAUCAGCGCUGCAUUAGCUAGUUGGUAAGGUAACGGCUUACCAAGGCAACGAUGCAUAGCCGACCUGAGAGGGUGGUCGGACACCCUGGAACUGAGACACGGUCCAGACUCCUACGGGAGGCAGCAGUAGGGAAUCUUACGCAAUGGGCGAGAGCCUGACGGAGCAACGCCGCGUGAGUGAUGAAGGUCUUCGGAUCGUAAAACUCUGUUAUUAGGGAAGAACAUAUGUGUAAUUAACUGUGCACAUCUUGACGGUACCUAAUCAGAAAGCCACGGCUAACUACGUG
rnacentral:rRNA from 1 species